AGAAACCAACAGGGAUUGCCUCAGUAACGGCGAGUGAAGCGGCAACAGCUCAAAUUUGAAAUCUGGCGCAAGCCCGAGUUGUAAUUUGUAGAGGAUGCUUCUGGGCAGCGGCCGGUCUAAGUUCCUUGGAACAGGACGUCAUAGAGGGUGAGAAUCCCGUAUGCGACCGGCUUAGCACCCGUCACGUAGCUCCUUCGAAGAGUCGAGUUGUUUGGGAAUGCAGCUCUAAAUGGGAGGUAAAUGUCUUCUAAAGCUAAAUAUUGGCCAGAGACCGAUAGCGCACAAGUAGAGUGAUCGAAAGAUGAAAAGCACUUUGGAAAGAGAGUUAAAAAGCACGUGAAAUUGUUGAAAGGGAAGCGCAUGCAAUCAGACUUGUCGGCGGUGUUCCACCGGUCUUCUGACCGGCUCACUCGCCGCCGGCAGGCCAACAUCAUUUGGGCGCGCCGGAUAAAGACGUGAGGAAUGUGGCCCCCUCGGGGGUGUUAUAGCCUCGCGUGCAAUACGGUGUCGCCCGAGUGAGGUCCGCGCUUCGGCUAGGAUGUUGGCGUAAUGGUUGUUUGCGGCCCGUCUUGAAACACGGACCAAGGAGUCUAACAUCUAUGCGAGUGUUCGGGUGUCAAACCCCUACGCGUAAUGAAAGUGAACGGAGGUGGGAACGAAAGUGCACCAUCGACCGAUCCUGAUGUCUUCGGAUGGAUUUGAGUAAGAGCAUAGCUGUUGGGACCCGAAAGAUGGUGAACUAUGCCUGAAUAGGGUGAAGCCAGAGGAAACUCUGGUGGAGGCUCGCAGCGGUUCUGACGUGCAAAUCGAUCGUCAAAUUUGGGUAUAGGGGCGAAAGACUAAUCGAAC
rnacentral:rRNA from 1 species